ACCGGAGCACUUCCCGUCAACGCACCCACAUUUGCGUCUGUGAAGUAGUAUUUGCCUUCCAAACUGCGUUUUUCUUUUUCAAGACGUUGGAAGACUUGGUUGGCAUUGCGAACGACCCGAUCUCCCGAGAAAAUUUUUCGCUUUUAACACACUUAUGGGUCAAAUUGCGAAGUGUUUGUACAUUUCAAGAAGUUUGUAUCAUACAAGCCCUGUCUCAAGACCAUGGCAGCAGAACUGGAGGACAGUAUUUCAACGAUUUUUCAGGUCUGGAGAAAAGCCUGUCAUCUUUAACUUCACAGACAAGGGACCAUCAGAUUGUUAUUUACACAGAGGAGCUUAUGGACUCUACCUAGUUGGAAGUUUUAUCUCUUUUUAUGGAGUAUACCUGAUGAUAAAUUGUAAGACGAAGAAAAGCUCACAGUGAAUUCUUCAUUGGGACUUUGAUAAUUUUCUACUGCAAUUCUACUCAUGUUUGGACACUCGAUAGACAUUAAUUCAAGUGGACUGUCAUGUUGGAAACUUCAGCUUGGAAUUGUCUCAUCUUGUAAAAGAAUUGGUCAAGUUGACUAUGAACUUGUUAAGACUAUUUCAAGUCACUUGGAAAGUCAUGCAGUCAUUUUCCAGAACAAUGUGUUUUAUCAUCUUGGUUUGAAUGUUUGGCACAUGAUAAUGCAGAGACUUGAACACCAACCGAAACAAAAUCAGUGAAGUUACAAAAAGUACUCCACUGAGUGUUGUUUCUGGGUUGUAAAACCAUUAUGUGACACAACAUUUAUUUAAGAAAUUCUAUCUCUAUGUGAAGAGAUUGUGGGUGAAGUAAAUUUAAAGUGAGCAUUCUUCUUAGCCUUGUAAUUCUAACUUUAGACUGACUGAACAAUUUACAACUGGCUUUUGAGAGCGUUUUUUUUUAGAAAAGAGUUAUUAUCAUGUUGGAAGAAACAUUGCUCGUGUAUUGUCACAGCACUCCUUUGCAAUUGAUUUAAACAUUAUGACCUUUAAAUACAGGAAGCAACCUAUUUUUUAUAUAGGUUAAAUGGGAGCUAAACAAUUUGUGGAAGGAGAGGUCAAGAUUUAUUAUUUAUGAGAUGUAACAUAGAAACAGUAAUGUAUAUCAUUGUUAAGGUGACAUUUGAUUGUAAUAUUACAAAUCAAACCUUUGUGUUCGUGUGUUA